UAAAAUUAGUUAUGUAUAAUAAUUUUCUCGAAUUAGAGAGGGCUAUGGUAUUAUAAAUUUAGUUGUGGCAUAAACUUUUAUAAUAAUAUUAUAGUGAUGAAAUGUUAGUCGUUCUCUAAGAUAUCUAGUUUCUUAAGAAAUGAAUUUAAUUCAGGAUUUUGUUUAUGUGAUGUUAAUUAGGUAGUUUCACGUAAUGGGGUUCUAAUACUUUAAGGGAUAAGCUUUAAAGUAAAGUAUUAAAAUAAUUAAUUUUUUAUUAAGGGUUAGUAGGAUUGGAAAUGUCUACCUUUAGUUUGUUAUAAUUAAUUCUUGAUUGAAUAAGAUUUGUAUUUGAGUUUAGUUUUUUUAUUAAGAUUAUAUAUUUAAUAUUAUAUUAUAUGAAAUAAUGAUAAGAUUAGUAUAGGUUAAUGUGUUUUGUUUUUUAUAAUAAAGGUUAAAUUAAGGAACUCGGCAAAUUUACUUUCCGCCUGUUUAUUAAAAACAUGUCUUUUUGAGUAUAAUUUAAAGUCUAGCCUGCCCAAUGAGUAGUUAAAUGGCCGCGGUAAUUUGACCGUGCAAAGGUAGCAUAAUCAUUAGUUUUUUAAUUGAAAGCUGGUAUGAAUGGCUGGACGAGAAAGUGACUGUCUCAAUUUAAUUGUAAUUAGAAUUUUAUUUAUAAGUAAGAAAGCUUAUAUGAUUUUAAAAGACGAGAAGACCCUAUAGAAUUUUAUAAUUAACUGGAUAUAUUGAGUUUGGUAUUUUAAAAUUUAUAUUGGGUUAAUUGUUUUGUUGGGGCGAUUGAAAAAUUGAAUAAACUUUUUUUUUAUUAUUUCAUUAAUGUAUGUAUUGUUGAUCCAUUUUUUAUGAUUAUAAGAUAAAAUUACCUUAGGGAUAACAGCGUAAUUUUUUUUUAGAGUUCUUAUCGAAAAAAGAGUUUGCGACCUCGAUGUUGGAUUAAAAUUAACUUUUGGUGCAGGAGCUAAAAGGUUAGGUCUGUUCGA
rnacentral:rRNA from 1 species